CAGCCGCCGCGGUAACACCGGCAGCUCAAGUGGUAGCCGCUUUUAUUGGGCCUAAAGCGUCCGUAGCCGGUCUGAUAAGUCUCUGGUGAAAUCCCGCAGCUUAACUGUGGGAAUUGCUGGAGAUACUAUCAUGACUCGAGGUCGGGAGAGGCUGGAGGUACUCCCAGGGUAGGGGUGAAAUCCUGUAAUCCUGGGAGGACCACCUGUGGCGAAGGCGUCCAGCUGGAACGAACCUGACGGUGAGGGACGAAAGCCAGGGGCGCGAACCGGAUUAGAUACCCGGGUAGUCCUGGCCGUAAACGAUGUGGACUUGGUGUUGGGAUGGCUUCGAGCUGCCCCAGUGCCGAAGGGAAGCUGUUAAGUCCACCGCCUGGGAAGUACGGCCGCAAGGCUGAAACUUAAAGGAAUUGGCGGG
rnacentral:rRNA from 1 species